AACGAACGCUGGCGGCAGGCUUAACACAUGCAAGUCGAGCGCCCCGCAAGGGGAGCGGCAGACGGGUGAGUAACACGUGGGAAUCUACCCAUCCCUACGGAACAACUCCGGGAAGCUGGAGCUAAUACCGUAUACGCCCUUCGGGGGAAAGAUUUAUCGGGGAUGGAUGAGCCCGCGUUGGAUUAGCUAGUUGGUGGGGUAAAGGCCUACCAAGGCGACGAUCCAUAGCUGGUCUGAGAGGAUGAUCAGCCACAUUGGGACUGAGACACGGCCCAAACUCCUACGGGAGGCAGCAGUGGGGAAUAUUGGACAAUGGGCGCAAGCCUGAUCCAGCCAUGCCGCGCGAGUGAUGAAGGCCUUAGGGUUGUAAAGCUCUUUCACCGAUGAAGAUAAUGACGGUAGUCGGAGAAGAAGCCCCGGCUAACUUCGUGCCAGCAGCCGCCGUAACAC
rnacentral:rRNA from 1 species